GGGCCUGAUUCUAACACUAAUUAGGAUAUGAUCCAGUUCACGGGCCUGAUUCUAAUAUUAAUUAAAAUGUGAUCCAGUUCACGGUCCCGAUUCUAACGCUAAUUAGCAUGUGAUUGAGUUCACGGGCCUGCUUCUAACACUAAUUAGGAUAUGAUCCAGUUCACGGGCAUGAUUCUAACACUAAUCAAAAUGUGAUCCAGUUCACGGGCCUGAUUCGAACACUAACUAGCAUGUGGUUGACUUCACGGGCCUGAUUCUAAAACUAAUCAGGAUAUGAUCCAGUUCACGGGCUUGAUUCUAACACUAAUUAAAAUGUGAUCCAGUUCACGGGCCUGAUUCUAAUACUAAUUAGCAUGUGAUUGAGUUCACGGACCUGCUUCUAACACUAAUUAGGAUAUGAUCCAGUUCACGGGCCUGAUUCUAACAUUAAUUAAAAUGUGAUCCAGUUCACGGUCCCGAUUCUAACACUAAUUAGCAUGUGAUUGAGUUCACGGGCCUGAUUCUAACACUAAUUAGGAUAUGAUCCAGUUCACGGGCCUGAUUCUAAUAUUAAUUAAAAUGUGAUCCAGUUCACGGUCCCGAUUCUAACGCUAAUUAGCAUGUGAUUGAGUUCACGGGCCUGCUUCUAACACUAAUUAGGAUAUGAUCCAGUUCACGGGCAUGAUUCUAACACUAAUCAAAAUGUGAUCCAGUUCACGGGCCUGAUUCUAACACUAACUAGCAUGUGGUUGACUUCACGGGCCUGAUUCUAACACUAAUUAAAUGUGAUUGAGUUCACGGGCCUAAUUCUAACAUUAAGUAAAAUGUGAUUGAGUUCACGGGCCUGAUUCUAAAACUAAUCAGGAUAUGAUCCAGUUCACGGGCUUGAUUCUAACACUAAUUAAAAUGUGAUCCAGUUCACGGGCCUGAUUCUAACACUAACUAGCAUGUGAUUGAGUUCACGGGCCUGAUUCUAACACUACUUAGCAUGUGAUUGAGUUCACGGGCCUGAUUCUAAUACUAAUUAGGAUAUGAUCCAGUUCACGGGCCUGAUUCUAACACUAAUUAAAAUGUGAUCCAGUUCACGGGCCUGAUUCUAACACUAAUCAAAAUGUGAUUGAGUUCACGGGCCUGAUUCUAACAUUAACUAGCAUGUGAUUAACUUCACGGGCCUGAUUCUAACACUAAUUAGGAUAUGAUCCAGUUCACGGGCCUGAUUCUAACACUAAUUAGGAUAUAAUCCAGUUCACGGGCCUGAUUCUAACACUAAUGGAAAUGUGAUUGAGUUCACGGGCCUGAUUCUAACACUAGUUAGCAUGUGAUUGAGUUCACGGGCCUGAUUCUAACACUAAUUAGCAUGUAAUUGAGUUCACGGGCCUGAUUCUAACACUAAUUAGGAUAUGCUCCAGUUCAGGGGGCUGACUCUAACACUAAUUAGGAUGUGAUUAAGAUCACAGGCCUCUAAUGAGAAUUAUAGCAUUAUUAUUUAUUUCCACAAAUCACAUUUUCAUACAACUCUUAAUAGUGAAAUGUUACACACAUCUAUUUUGAUUUAAAUCGUAUCAUUGAUUAUUCAUCUAUAACUUAGACUUUUGAAAUAGUUUAUUAUACCCCCCGCAACAAGUUGUGGGGGGGGGGGGGGUAUACUGGAAUCGGAUUGUCCGUCUGUCUGUCCGUCCGUCUGUAGACGCAAUGGUUUCCGGGCUCUAAAGCAUUAUCCUUUCCACCUACCGUCACCAUAUCAUAUAUAUGGACUACCCAUGGGAUGAAGAUGUUCCCUAUCGAUUUUGGGGUCAAAAGGUCAAAGGUCACGUGCACUGGACAUCAAAGUAGCAAUAUGGUUUCCAUUUAAAUUCUUUAACGGCUUUUUUCAUCGCAUGGAGAUGCUGUGUUCCUAGAUACCUUUUGGAUCAUAAUAUUGAAGUUUUACCUAUUUCCAACACCCUUUAGGAGAUUGGGGUAAGCGAGGGGUAUUCUUAGUGAGCAUUGCUCACAGUACCUCUUGUUUUAACAGGUUGUUUUUUUUACAAUAACUAUCGGAAAAGACUAACAAAAUUUAUGUUCCUAUCAUGCACAAAUCUAAAUAAAUCAUUGAUUUUGCAAAAUCUGAUGACAUCAUAGGAGGGUGGAAUUACUUUAAGUUAUGUUUAGUGCUGUGUGUAUAUAAACAUGCACUCAUAUAAUUAUAUCUUCCCUCUUCCAGGGGGAGACAUAUUGUAUUUGUACUUUCUGUCCGUCCUUCCUUCUGUCACAAAAUCUUGUGAACGCUUCUCCACCUAUAUGGCUUAUCAGAUAGACUUGAAACUUUGUACAAUGCUUCAUUGUCAUUUGCAGAUGUGAAUAUUGUUGGGACGGGAGGAUCCAAUUGUUUUCCCAAGAGUUAUAGUGGAUCUAAGAGGGGUGGAAGAUGUAAAAUAGCUUAUGAACUCUUCUCCUCCCAUAUGGCUUAUUGGAUAGACUUGAAACUUUGUACAAUGCUUAAUUGUCAUUUGUAGAUGUGCAUAUUGUCGGAAUGGGAGGAUCCAAAGUUUUUCCUAAAAGAUAUAGUGGAUCUAAAAGGGGUGGAGGAUGUUAAAAUACCUUGUGAACACUUCUCCUAUAUGGCUUAUCUGAUAGACUUGAGAAUUUGUACAAUGCUUCAAUGCCAUUUGCAGAUGUGCAAGUUGUAGGGACAGGAGGAUCCAAUUGCUAUCCUUAAAGUUAAAGUGGAUCUGAGGGGUGUAGGGUAUAAAAUAGUGUGUGAACGCUUCUCCUCCUAUAUGGCUUAUCAGAGUUCAUGUCUAUCUUCCUGCCCAUGCUUUCUCCUCCAUACUAUUCAAUACAUUAAGGGGGAUGUUUCCUAUAUUUUACAAAUUAAUUGGUUGAUUGACAACAAACUUGGUACAGUUGUACAGCAUAUAUAAGGAGUAGAUGACCCCUAUUGAUUCUUAGGUCACAUGGUCAGUCCACUCUUGACAUAGGAAGGUAUUGUCUGCUCAAUAUUUUGAAUUGGUGUAACUACUAUCAAUUAUAUGAGGCACGGGUAUAACCCUUUCAAUUUUGCAACUUGGGGGGCAUAUGUGUUUUAGAAACAUCUCUUGUGUUGAAUUAUAUGAAUUACAGUUUUUAGUGUGCUCAGUUUAGAGAAUAGCAUAAAAGUAUUUGAUAAUUAAAUAUCUUGCAGAUUGGCAGUUUACUCCAUGCACCGACAGGAAUGAUAAACUGUGAUAUUCGUAAAUGGAACUGGGACACGUUCUAAAUAUACUCAGGGACAGAAUGAUGUGCAGCAAGGCUCGUCAUGGAUUUUACCAAAUACAGAACACUGCAAGGCUUGCAAAAUGAAGACCUCAGUAAAAAAAAUUCUAAAUUAUCCACUAAUGGCAGCUCACUACCUGCCCCUUGUGAUGUUAAAAGAGGCCGUUGUUCUCAUUUGUUCCAAAACAGGAAUGGCAUAUGAGGAGGCCAACAGAAGAUGCACCUCCACUGACUUCCACGGAGUGUGCACUCACAAAACGAAUAAAUUAUUAUUAUUUCUUUUGUUUGCAAUUGUAUAUUGUCAACAAGGUCAAAGGCACUUGAUCCGAUGCCAAACUUUUGCAUUUCUUUUGCUUUGUGGUAAAUUUUCUUCAGCAACAUUAACAUUGUUUAAAUUGUUUUCUUUGGAGAGUUUACAUGUACACAUGGAUCAUUUGUAUAUUAGAAUUAUAGCAUUGUUUAAUUCAACUCAUUCUUAUCAUAGAGAGGUUAUUAUACAUGUAUACUGCAGGCAACGACUUGUAAAGGGUAUACUGUUUUAACUCACAUGCAAGGCAGUAUUAUGAAACUCUGUAGUUGAUAAGGACAUAUAUCACAUAUCGAUAUGCAUAUUUACAGGAAACUCUGAUGUAUUUUAAAUCUGAACGUUAAUUUAAAAGUGGGGAGAAAUAGCAUUGGAUGAAAAAAGACACAUAUGAAGAAAAUUAUUCCAUACGUAAAUACUUUUUAGCUCACCUGAGCUGAAAGCUCAAGUGAGCUUUUCUGAUCGCCUGUUGUUCAUUGUCUGUCCGUGAUUAGACAUUUUAUAUUUUCUCCAGAAGCACUGGGCCAAUAAUAACCAAACUUAGCCAAAAGUAUCCUUGGGUAAAGGGCUUUCGAGUUUGUUCAAAUGAAGGGCCAUGCCCUCUUCAAAGGGGAGAUGACCACAAAAAUAGGGUGGGUCAUUUAAUUUUUUUUAUCAAGAACCAUUGGGCCAGAAGAGCUGAAAUGUACAUGAAAGCUUCCUGACAUAGUACAGAUUCAAGUUUAUUGAAAUCAUGGCCUCCAGGGGUUGUAUGGGGCCACAAUAGAGAAUCAAAGUUUUACAUACAAUUAUUCAGUAAAACUCUUUCAAUAUGAGCCAAGGUGGCUCAGGUGAGCGAUGUGGCCCAUGGGCCUCUUGUUCAACAUAUAGAAUAAAUAGUUAUGUUGUAUUUCCCAUGGAACAUUGAAACGUUUAAUACGUUUACCAAUUAAUCACUGAAAGAAAGAUAAAAUUGUUAUUUCAUAUGUUUUAUGAAAACUUCAAGAUGUUUCAUUUCUUUUCAUGAAAGACCCCUUAAUUACCCAGUAAUAAAUAAUCAAUUCUUAACAGAUUAUGUAAAUUUGAUUUAUAUUAAGGAUGUUUGAUCUGAUUACCCAUCAUUAUCAAUCUGUCUAAUAUGGCCAUCAUGUGUUACUAUUAAUUGCUACGCAAUCUUGGAGCAUGAGGUAGAAUGCGAGCCAGCUCUUUCAUAAGUACAUGUAUCUGGAAAAUAUUUCAAUGUCAAAGGUUACAACAAUGUGAUAAUUUAAUCAUUGUAUGUCUAAGGUGUUGAUAAUAAAACUGUUAUCUGUUCAA